ACAAUUACAACACCAUGACAUUUCAGAUUUAAAUAGCUGCAAGCAUGAAAUUUACUAUUUUUAAAAUUCUAUGACCAUGAUAUUGACAAAAAUGGACCAUGAAUUUGGUAGGGCCCUAAUUAUGAUCAGUAUACUCUUGUCUGGGGAAUAAUGGCUUCUAGUUCUAAUAUAUGACAUCCCUUCCACGGUGUCAGGAAAGAGUUUUCUAGUGGCUUUUAGGGGAGAUGAAGGAUUAUGGGGAAGGGUGCAAGGGAAAUGUUACAGAGACUCCAUUAUCUUUGGGCAGCAAGUCACUAGAACUCUGGUAUCUGUGGUUAAAAGGUUAUUGGGGUGCUAAGGAAAAUAAUGGUUUGUACUUGGGAAUCUGUAAGAAUGUACCGAACUUUAGUUCUAGUGAACAUAUGAAAGUGAGGAAAUUCAGGGAGAAAGUGUAAACACAAAUGUUUGAGUCAGGAAAUUAGGCUUUUUGAACUAUCACCUUCUAAUGUAAUGACUCAGAUACUUGCUAUAUUAACAACUAUCUUUAUACAACCAUAACUCCAUCCUAACAAUGUUUUUUAAAUUUAUGAAUAUCCUUUAUUUGUUGAGUAAUAUAUUCAUAACUGUGAUGUGUGCAAAUUUGCAGCAGAUGGAUGGCAGUUAUUUGGCAAUUGAUCCCAGUGGGGCAGUUUGACUGAGGGCAGGUGGAUUCAUCCUUGUGCCCUGUUUGGUGGUAUAUUCCGGCAUGCUGGAUUUUUAUUUUGAUGUUAAUGUUGUGUAAUGGUUUUAUCACACAGCAUUAUGAUGCAGACAAAUAGGCAAAUAAUAAAUGCAUUAAAUCAACAGAUGGAGGGCUCAGUCCUCUGGGGGGCUUAAGCUGCCCUGUUGCCCUCUUCGUACUGCUUCUGACAGUGUAAAGGGGCCUUAAAGCCAGCAGAUCUGGCCACUGUGGAAUUCCUUUAACAUAGGAGAUUCUCUGGCUGGGGUACUGGCGAUGCUGGCUCUCUGCUGCCUCCUACAGGAGCCCCUGGUACAGUGUGUGUGUUGAGGGCAAGCUGGGAGGCAUUAGAACAUGGCUGAAGUGCUGCUGUGCACAUUCACAUUCCAUAGGCAGCAGAGCACAAAUUAGAGCAGUCCUGAAGCUACUCUAAAUUAUGCAGGAUGGCUAAAUGGGCCUCAUUUGGCUCAGGAUAGGGGAGUCACAAAGGUGGCUUAAAGCUAUCUUUGUAUCCCUUCUCCCUGAGCCCUUUAGAGUAAUAUCGGUGUAAUUACCUGCAACUUCUUUUGCAACUUCUUUUAUAGUUUCUUCCUUCCCCAGGGCCAUAGCUCCUAAAACCAGAGAAGAGAUUCUUGUUCAUACCCUACCUCUGGGCUGAAAACGGAGCAGUGGAGAAUGGAGAGCUGGGGCUCCGCUCCAUUCCCACUCUUGCUGAGGUGGUUACGCUGGUGUAAGGGAUGCUGUGUCUAUAUUCCUGCAUCAAAUACCCUUGCUGCCAUUUUUGCUGUUCGGGGAGAAACAUUAUACCCAGAAGCUGCAACAAGUCUCAGAAGGAACUCAGGGAUCAGCUCAGCUGACCAACAGAGUGUCUAACAUUCAUCAGCACUCAACAGAUACAACGGAACAGAACUUCAGUAAGGUCAGACUUGCCAGGUGUGGACUGCCUUCAACGUGGCUUCAAUGGGAUUUGAGGGACCCAGAAUUUUGAAAGAGGCAAUCAGGACCUCACAAAAUUAGGCUUAGAAAAAUAAGAUAUAGGUAAGGAACAGUGAGAUGUUAUUGACGAGAACCAAGUCAUCCACUAAAUCCAUCAAGCUACAUUUCCUGCCCCCAAUGUUGGUGAGGAUUUGGAUAGCCUUGACCUCCCCUCAUACCACUAGCAUAAUCAGGAGUAAUCCAGUUGAAGUCAGUGGGCUUCUUAGACCAAUGUGAAAAUAGAGAAAAGGAGAGAAUUAGCUUAGUGUGUAUAUAUUUCUGAGAGAAAAAGAUUCUAUAUCCUUGUAUUGAUUCGGUCAUUGUGGGACUCAUCAUUUCAGAUGACUGGGGUUGGGACCUAUACAUCCAUGGCACAUGGCACACAAAUUCUGGUGCCAUAGGCUUGAAGGUAUAAAGAAAUAGCUUUAAUCUGGAAACGCUUCCCCAGGUCUGGAUGUCUGACUGUAAGGAGGAAAGGGUAUGAAGGAUGGUGCUCAAUUUGUUAAUUUACAGAAAUUUCUUUAGCGCCUGCUGGUAAUUUACAACAUGAACUAUCUCACCCUCAGUUAUGUGUUUCUCUUUUAACCAUAUCUCUGCUCCUUUCCAAACUGUUAUAUUCUUGUGACUUUAGUGCUGGUGAAAGGUGCUGCACUGUCAAUGUUGGGAAGUGACCUCCCCUAUUUAUCCACAGGACAGGAACAGUUCAGCAUAAGCAACGGCAAUGUAAUCUUCAUCCAUACUGCUGCACCUAUUAUGUCCCAACUCUGACCUGGAGCAACCACCUCUAGGGCUUCUCCCCUUUGGCUAUAGGCCCACAUGAAGAAAAAGACAGACUGAGCACACGCAUCCUAAAACACACGCAACAAGGUUGGCCUAUGAGAGACUGCAGGAGGGAGUGAAUUCCAGAGAUAAGGAUUCUUCAUCAGAAUGUCCUGCUGCCCAUGCCCCGGAGUUCAACCCCAAGGACUGAGAGCAAGAACUGUCUUGUGGAACACAACUGCUGCAAUGUGGCAUAGCAGGUGAGAUGGAUGUGGGAACCCAGGCCAUUCAGGGCUUUGUAGAUGAUAACAAAAUCCUUCACUUGCACUUGGGGGUGGAUUGGGAGCCAGUGCAGAGCGCGGAUUAUAUAAGGAUGUUUAACCCUUUCUAGCCAUGCGUCACACAUGCUCACAACAAUGGGCUCAGAAAAUGACCUUUGCAGCAGCAUUCUGCUUGGAUACGAGCAGGGCAAAAGUGCAUUUGUCAACACCACAGAGGAAGAUGUGGCAGUAAUCAAGAUGUGAGAUGAUGAGAGUUUUAGCUCUGUGGAUGGAUAGGAAAGCCCAUAAUGUAGAGAUGUUCUGCAGAAAGAAUUGGCAAGAUUUAGACAGAGCCCGGAUGUGAAGACCUAGAGAGAUCUCUCAGCAGAUGAUGACACCCUGGCAGGAUGGCUAAAAAGCAAUGAUUUUUCUUUUAAAUAAAAACAAAUGGGUUUUUUAAUUUAAAUGAAAUACAGCUUUAUUUUUUUUUAAAUAAACCUAUUUAAAAUCAAAUUUGAAAUUAUGACAACCUAUGUCAAGAGUCAAGAUCUAAUCUUAGUAUAAUCUAUUAAAAUAAUUUAAAGUAAAUUAAAAAAAUAUUAAGCAGUACAUGUUGACUGCCAAGUUUUAAAGAAAGGUAACCCUCGAAACUGCUGGAAGUCAUGGGCAAAGCACCUGGAGCCAGCUUUUGACAGCAGUAGCCUCUUCUGCAGGCACAGAGAGAAUAUUUUCUUCAUGUCAGUUUACUCAUAGAUUCCAAGGUCAGAUGGGGCCUUGUGAUCAUUUAGUUUGACCUCCUGUCUGACACAAGCCAUAGGACUUCCCCAGUUCAAUUACUAGCUUAUUCAACGUUAAAAAAACCAAUGAGAGCUGAAAAUGCAGAAAAGCUUGUUUUCCUCUUCCAGUUAAUGAAUAAAAACUCGGUAUGAGAGGGUGACAUCUACAAUUAAUUAAUUAUGGAUAAUACUUCCUUUGUUUAAUAAAUUAGUUUUAAAUGCAAAACAUGUUUUGAUAAACUUACUGAUAAAUGUCUUUUCAUAUGUCUCCAGCACAUUUUGGAUUUUAUUUAACUAAU